UACAGGGGGUGCAAACGUUGCUCGGAAUUAUUGGGCGUAAAGCGCGUGUAGGCGGCUACUUAAGUCGGAUGUGAAAGCCCUUGGCUCAACUGAGGAAGUGCACCCGAAACUGAGUGGCUUGAGUACGAAAGAGGGUCGCGGAAUUCCCGGUGUAGAGGUGAAAUUCGUAGAUAUCGGGAGGAACACCGGUGGCGAAGGCGGCGACCUGGGUCGAUACUGACGCUGAUGCGCGAAAGCGUGGGGAGCAAACAGG
rnacentral:rRNA from 1 species